GUAGCACAGAGGAGCUUGCUCCUUGGGUGACGAGUGGCGGACGGGUGAGUAAUGUCUGGGGAUCUGCCCGAUAGAGGGGGAUAACCACUGGAAACGGUGGCUAAUACCGCAUAACGUCGCAAGACCAAAGAGGGGGACCUUCGGGCCUCUCACUAUCGGAUGAACCCAGAUGGGAUUAGCUAGUAGGCGGGGUAAUGGCCCACCUAGGCGACGAUCCCUAGCUGGUCUGAGAGGAUGACCAGCCACACUGGAACUGAGACACGGUCCAGACUCCUACGGGAGGCAGCAGUGGGGAAUAUUGCACAAUGGGCGCAAGCCUGAUGCAGCCAUGCCGCGUGUAUGAAGAAGGCCUUCGGGUUGUAAAGUACUUUCAGCGGGGAGGAAGGCGAUGCGGUUAAUAACCGCCUCGAUUGACGUUUCCCGCAAAAGAAACACCCGCUCACUCCAUGGCCGCCGGCACGGGAAUACAGAGAGGGGCUC
rnacentral:rRNA from 1 species